UGUGAUUCGGUUCCGGUUGGAAGUUUU
rnacentral:piRNA from 1 species